rnacentral:rRNA from 1 species
UACGGAGGGUGCAAGCGUUAUCCGGAUUCACUGGGUUUAAAGGGUGCGUAGGUGGGCAGGUAAGUCAGUGGUGAAAUCUCCGGGCUUAACCCGGAAACUGCCGUUGAUACUAUCUGUCUUGAAUGUAGUGGAGGUGAGCGGAAUAUGUCAUGUAGCGGUGAAAUGCUUAGAUAUGACAUAGAACAUCGAUUGCGAAGGCAGCUCGCUACACUAUUAUUGACGCUGAGGCACGAAAGUGCGGGGAUCAAACAGG